rnacentral:rRNA from 1 species
AAAUUUGAAAUCUGGCGCAAGCCCGAGUUGUAAUUUGUAGAGGAUGCUUCUGGCCAGCGGCCGUUCUAAGUUCCUUGGAACAGGACGUCAUAGAGGGUGAGAAUCCCGUAUGUGACCGGCGCGCAGCCUUUACGUAGCUCCUUCGACGAGUCGAGUUGUUUGGGAAUGCAGCUCUAAAUGGGAGGUAAAUUUCUUCUAAAGCUAAAUACCGGCCAGAGACCGAUAGCGCACAAGUAGAGUGAUCGAAAGAUGAAAAGCACUUUGGAAAGAGAGUUAAAAAGCACGUGAAAUUGUUGAAAGGGAAGCGCUUGCAACCAGACUUCGUAGCGAUGUUCCGCUGGUCUUCUGACCGGUCUACUCAUCGUCGCGAGGCCAACAUCGUCUGGGCCCGCUGGAUAAGACCUAAGGAAUGUGGCUUCUCUUCGGGGAAGUGUUAUAGCCUGUGGUGAUGCAGCGUGGCUCGGGCGAGGUCCGCGCUUCGGCAAGGAUGUUGGCGUAAUGGUUGUCAGCGGCCCGUCUUGAAACACGGACCAAGGAGUCUAACAUCUAUGCGAGUGUUCGGGUGUCAAACCCCUACGCGUAAUGAAAGUGAACGGAGGUGGGAAGCGCAAGCUGCACCAUCGACCGAUCCUGAUGUCCUCGGAUGGAUUUGAGUAAGAGCAUAGCUGUUGGGACCCGAAAGAUGGUGAACUAUGCCUGAAUAGGGUGAAGCCAGAGGAAACUCUGG